rnacentral:rRNA from 1 species
UACGUAGGUGGCGAGCGUUGUCCGGAUUUAUUGGGUUUAAAGGGUGCGUAGGCGGCUUUGUAAGUCAGUGGUGAAAUAUGUCAGCUCAACUGAGAGGGUGCCAUUGAUACUGCGGAGCUUGAGUACAGAUGAGGUAGGCGGAAUUGACGGUGUAGCGGUGAAAUGCUUAGAUAUCGUCAAGAACACCUAUAGCGAAGGCAGCUUACUAGGCUGUAACUGACGCUUAGGCACGAAAGUGUGGGGAUCAUACAGU